AUUUGCCACCAAGAAACACACUCAUAACUGGGGGAAAGUUAAGUGCCGUAUAUUUUUGAAUCUCUUGGAGAGGUGAAGGGCCGUUAUUUCCUGCUGGGAAAGUGGGCUAGCGCAACCCCAACCCUUGGGCCCCCGCCCAGGCAGGUCCCCCGCGGGCGUGGCACGACCCCCGCAGGGAGAUCAAGCAGCGCGAAGCUUUUCAGCGUCCUGGAGCCGCCUCUCAAACCACUUCCAGCCGCUCCACUUCCAGAGCUGUCCCAGGGCCCGGUUCUGGGGCGAAAAUGCCGGCCCUUCACAUCGAAGAUUUGCCAGAAAAGGAAAAGCUGAAGAUGGAAGUUGAGCAACUUCGCAAGGAGGUGAAGUUGCAGAGACAACAGGUGUCUAAAUGUUCUGAAGAAAUAAAGAAUUACAUUGAAGAACGUUCUGGAGAGGAUCCUCUGGUGAAAGGAAUUCCAGAAGACAAGAAUCCCUUUAAAGAAAAAGGCAGCUGCGUUAUUUCAUAAAUAACUCUGGGGAGACGCUUCAUCCUCAGUGGAAGAACUAGCUUGUUUUAGUUUGCCAGAAUGAAACCGACAUGCCUUUUAAAGAGAAAAAAAAAAAAAGAAUGAAAUUUAAAGGAGACUUUCUUCAGCACUUAUAUAGAUAUGGUUCUGUAUACAAGCUAUGUGCUUCUCAUCUUUGCUCACUACACUCCCCUUUUAAGAGGGCAGAGAGUAUCAAAUGUGCAGUUAUGGAAAGAAGGACAUUACUUGUGCAUGACUCACCUCUUUCAGUAUAUUGCUUGAUGCCUCAAAUAAAGUUUUAUCUCUGAAAAAUGAGUGUUGAUGAUUUAAGACAGCAUUUAAUUUUUUUGGCCUUAAAUUUUAUAUUUUUCCCCAUAACCUUUCUGGUAUUUGGGACAUGUAUCAAAAGAUGAGGUGGUUUGAUAGAUCAGUUCCCCAAUCCAGCUCUCUCUGCUUCAAUUCUUAGGAGGUUUACAGUGCUGAGUUCUGACUUCUGGAAUGUGUCUGAUCUAACGUUAACUAUUAGGGAAUUGAGUGAAUAGAACUGAACGCUAACAGGAAUCAGAUUAUUUGAGUCAGGAACCAGGCCAAGCCAUGCCUACAUAAGCACUUCUGUGGUUUGUCAUCAUACAGAUCUUGUUCAAACUGUUGCCGCAACAGUGGCCUUAGGAUAGGGAGAGGGUUGGGGUCAAGAGGAGCACCCGGGCGCCAGCCCUGGAAUGUUCACCCUCAGGGAGCUGCACCUCCUACAGGCUCUGCAGGUCUUGGCAUGGCCACCCUCCAGCUCUGUGUCAUUGGAACAGAGACUUGGUUCUGCGUGGCUUGGGCCAAGCACUGCUCUUUUCCUUCUCCUCCAAAGGGACAAGUUAACCUUGUACCCAUUUCUAAAAUUAGCUUGCUUUUUUCUCAUUGAUUUGCAGGAGUUUUUAAUAUAUUCUGACCAUGCAUCCUUUGUCGGUGAUAGGUGUUGGAGGUGCCUUCUCCCAGUCCAUGGCUUAACGUUCCACAGCGGGACCAUCGCUGCAGCGAUUUUAGCCCGCAGAUGCAGCACACCAGAGUACAUGGGCUGCUCAAGUCCUUCAUGAAGACACCCGUAGCCGGACCUUAAAGAAAGGGACCUUUCUUCCUCUCUUUGAGCAUUCUUCCUCCCUCUCCCUCUGUCUUUUGGAUGCAAGUUUCACCAGGUUUGAGCCAAAAACAAGACAAGGAAAACCCUUACAGGUUAGCUCCAGCUCAAGUGGGCUCAGUUACUAACUCCUCCUGCAAUUUUACAUAUGACACCAGAAACCCAGGUUUCUGCUUGACGAGGUCUUUUCUCCAGCCUAGAUGCAUAGGUGUGCUUCAUCAAGCCAGAGAGGUGCCUGUGACUCCAGCAGCUUCCUCAAGUCUAUCAGCACCUUCACUAGGAACUACUUUCCCUUCCCUCUCCAAGAAGGAACGGGAUACCCCAGGCUUUUGAAAGAGCAGGUUACGGCAAACCAAGAGCUGGGAAUAUUUCCUUCAGUUUCUUGCCUUUUUUCCAAGUGUUGAAGUCAAUUGGGAUUACUGAGAGCCCAGGGAUAAUUUUACUCCAAAGGAGGAUUUACUCCAAGGUGAGGUUUAAGAACAGCAAAGGUAUUAUUUUUUGCCAGCAGCCAUAGAACAAUUAGUAUUUGGGUUAUGUUGCUAUUAUUUCAUUUAACAUUUAAAGUGGCAUGGGAUUUUAGUACCUUGGUGCUUGUAAAGUUUUACUUUAAUGAACUGUUUCAUUUAAGUCAUAAAGUUUUCUUCUGUUGCAUAAAAAAGCAAACAUCUAUUCUGCUUAUUGGUAAGACAGAUCAAAUCACCUGCUUCCUUCAUGAAAGGCCAACUCAAUGCAUUUAUCCACUAACUUCUUGAAGUUGGGGAUUACAAGGCUGUAUCCUGAAUUUCUAUCAGCCGCAUUCAGCUGCCCAUUCACAUGCAUCUGCAAGUCCUAGCUUCUGCUCUUCCUGUACCUUCAACCAUAUGACAAAUUAGUCAGCCUACUUCUGUUUUUUCACUAAUAAAUAUCCAAUCUUGUAGAUGUUUCUACCAAAUCUAAUCUGUUCUAUUUUCCUUACUGUUUCAUCAUCGUAACUCAGCAAAUCUAUAAGAAGUGUAAUAAAAUACUCUUGAUUUUCAAGUGUUGAACUUAUUAGCUUGCGUUAGGAAGAAAAUGAAAAUAUGGUAACUAUGUAUUUAGAUAUAUUAUAUAAGUAACCUUUAGUAAGUGGGAAUUUGUUAAGUAGAAUUCAAAUCAUGUGUUCAACUUCUUUCAGUAUAUAAUUGUGUAAUCAUUUGAUAUCUGAUUGAUUAAAUACUUAUUAUGCUUUGUGUAUUGAGACUUACGUUCUAUAAACCCACAUUAAAUUAGCAAAAUAGGCUUUCCUAAUUCUAGGCAGAAUCUACAUUACAAGCUCACCCCUACUUGGUAUUUUAAGACAGGUUAUUCUGUAUCUUGGAUGCAAACUGGUAUCUCAUUACUGUCUAAAUUUGCAUUUUCUUGAUUUCCUAUGACUUCUACUGUCAGAUUUUUGUGUACCUUUUGAUUACCUUCACCCAUUUCAACCACGCCCCCCACCCCCUACCAAUGGCAAUCACCACUCUGUCCUCUGUAUCUAUGAACUUGGUUUUCUUUUUUUAGAUUCCACAUAAAAGUGAG
ensembl:lncRNA